rnacentral:rRNA from 1 species
CACGUAGGGGGCAAGCGUUGUCCGGAUUUAUUGGGCGUAAAGAGCGUGUAGGCGGCUUGGUAGGUCCGCUGUGAAAACUCGAGGCUCAACCUCGAGAUGUCGGCGGAAACCACUUUGGCUAGAGUCCGGAAGAGGAGAGUGGAAUUCCUGGUGUAGCGGUGAAAUGCGCAGAUAUCAGGAAGAACACCUAUGGCGAAGGCAGCUCUCUGGGACGGUACUGACGCUGAGACGCGAAAGCGUGGGGAGCGAACAGG